UGGGGAAGUAUUGCGCAAUGGGCGGAAAGCCUGACGCAGCGACGCCGCGUGAGGGAUGAAGGUCUUCGGAUCGUAAACCCUCUGUCAGCAGGGAAGAACGGUCACUGUGCUAAUCAGCAGUGAAUUGACGGUACCUGCAAAGGAAGCACCGGCUAACUCCGUGCC
rnacentral:rRNA from 1 species